UGGGGAAUUUUGGACAAUGGGGGAAACCCUGAUCCAGCCAUCCCGCGUGUGCGAUGAAGGCCUUCGGGUUGUAAAGCACUUUUGGCAGGAAAGAAACGUCAUGGGUCAAUACCCCGUGAAACUGACGGUACCUGCAGAAUAAGCACCGGCUAACCACGUGCCAGCAGCCGCGGUAAUACGUAGGGUGCAAGCGUUAAUCGGAAUUACUGGGCGUAAAGCGUGCGCAGGCGGUUCGGAAAGAAAGAUGUGAAAUCCCAGAGCUCAACUUUGGAACUGCAUUUUGAACUGCCGGGCUAGAGUGUGGCAGAGGGAGGUGGAAUUCCGCGUGUAGCAGUGAAAUGCGUAGAUAUGCGGAGGAACACCGAUGGCGAAGGCGGACUCCUGGUAUAACACUGACGCUCAUGCACGAAAGCGUGGGGAGCAAACAGG
rnacentral:rRNA from 1 species